rnacentral:lncRNA from 1 species
CCCUGCUAAUGAACAUUAGAAAUGACUGCCAAUUAAGUGCCAACGGACGAUCUCAUCUGUCUUUAAAUCAUCAAGGUUGAAUGACAAGUUUACUGUUCAACUUUGCAUAGGCAUGCAGACACCAUUACUUACUGAUACAGCCGACAAUGACAAAGCCUGUCCUCUCCAUGUCAAGAGUUACUUUAACUGCAUACAAUAUGAGAUUCUCCUGGCCUUUUCCAGCUUCUAGGUGCUGUCCUUAUUUCUUGGCUCAUGGCCCCUUCCUCAAUCUUCGUAGCCAGCAAUCUGCAUGCCUUUAGACUUUUUAAAUUUAUUUUGUUUAUCUUUUUAGGGCUACACCCAAGACAUAUGGAAGUUCCCAGCUAGGAGUCAAAUAGGAGCUGCAGCUGUAGGCCUGCGCCACAGCCAUAGCAACAUGAGAUCCUAGCAGCAUCUGCAACCCACCCCACAGCUUGUGGCAAUGCCAGCUCCUUAACCCACUGAGCGAGGCCAGAGAUCAAAUCCGCAUCCUCACAAAAAGUAGUUGCAUUCUUAACUCACUGAGCUACGAUUGGAAUUUCUACUUUUAGUUUUCUCAGGAAAUUUGCUGUGCAGCAGAAAUUGGCACCAUUUUGAAAAACAACUAUACUUUAAUUAAAAUAAACAAAUAAAGAGGUUGUUGUCAAGGUAAAAAAAAAUAAUCUCUGUGAUUACUGUGGGCACACCUGGAUAUUCCAAGGUUCUUUCCUUAUUUUAACGUUGUGUGAUUAGCAACCUUAUUUCCAUCUAGAAUCUUAAUUCCCCUUUGGCAUGUAACCUAACAGAAUCCCAGGUUCUGGGGAUUAUGACAUGGACAUUUGGAGAGGCAUUAUUCUACCAAUAAUGCGGCUUUUAAAAAAUCAGGUGAAGUCCAAUCAGGAAAAGAGAAACCACAGUGGACACUUCAACAGGGGCAAGUUCAUAUGGGAACGAUUUACACAGGAGUGGGGAGCUUAGAGAGCAGAAAGGGGACAUGAAAGAACUUGGAGUCAGGAUCUACAGCAAGGAGACCCUGACUUCAGUGCUUGCAGUUGGCUGGGGGUGGGGCGAGAAAAACACUCAAGUACCGAAAUUUAUGACUUUGGAAGAGGGAUCCAAAGGGCUGAGGUCUGUGUGAGCAAAGUGCGUUACCUGGGUGGUGCUGGUGCUUCUGAAGAGGUGAACUGGGGCUUGUUCUGCGAAAAUCAAAAGAAGCUGGAGACCAGAAACAACUGCUUGGGGUAAAUGCUGCUGCUGGGGCCACACUGAGCAGAACAGCUAGAAAGAGGAAAGAAGUUUCUUCUCCCUCCCUACACCUCUGCAGCACCCCAAGUUAGCGUAACAGUGGACAGACUUCAACCCCAGGAGAAAAAAGCUGACAUUCUGCCAGUAGAAUCCCAACAUGCGGUUUCAGGGAGGAAGGGGAUAGGGUGUUUGUAGCAAAGAGAAAGAGUGAAAAAUCUGCCCUUCCCACUCCAGGACAUAGUGAGAACAAUAAAAACACAGAAUCAGGGCUGAGACAAGACCUGUGCAUCCUCAUAAUAGAAACACCCCCCCGGGAAGCUGGACGGGGCACUGUAUACAUGUCUUGUGUAUACAGACAACACUAUAUCCAGACAAAACUAUAAUUCCAAAAGAUGCAUGCACCUGUAUAGUCAUUGAAGUAUUAUUCACAAUAGCCAAGACAUGGAAACAACCUAAAUGUCCAUCAACAGAUGAAUGGAUUAAGAAGAUGUGGUACAUACAUGCAAUGGAAUACUACUCAGCCAUAACAGAAAAAUGCCAUUCGCAGCAAUAUGGAUGGAACUAGAGAUUCUCAUACUAAGUGAAGUAAGUCAGAAAGAGAAAGACAAAUACCAUAUGAUAUCACUUACAUGUGGAAUCUAAAAUAUGGCACAAAUGAACCUAUCUACAAAACAGAAACAGAUUUAUAGACAUAGAAAACAGACUUGUGGUUGCCAAGGGGGAUGGGAGGAGGGAGGGGAUGGAUGCGGAGUUUGGGGUUGGUAGAUCCAAACUAUUACAUUUAGAACAGAUAAGCAAGGAUGUCCCACUGUACGGCACAGGGAACUAUAACCGNUAUCCACUCAUAUCAUACCUAGAGAUAUGACUGGAUCACUAUGCUGUACAGCAAAAAUUGACACAACACUGUAAAUCAACUAUAUUUUAAUAAAGUUGAACUGUAAAGUCCCUUACAUGCUUCUCUAAGGGACUGCAGAAGUGCCUGGAAAACUAGAGGUUCAUAAAAGCCCCCAAACAUGGUAAAGAAGCCCUGUUUCUGACUGUGUGGUCUCCUAUAGAUAUUUCAGGCCAUAAAAUCCAGGCAUGGUGCCAGCUUAGUGCCCCAGAUCUUCUUAUAUCGAGUCAUGCCUCAAUAAUCACAAGGGCAAACCAGAAAGACUACUGCCCCAAAGAGAACAGCAUAGAUCUUAAGGACAGUAAAUGCAUCUCAGGCUGCCUUACUCCCCAUAAUCAAGAGUUCAAUGAGCCCAUGCACAAAAUGCCUUGCAGAGUAAAAAUCCAAAGAAAAAAAUAACAAGAGUAUUUGCCAAAAUAAACUGAGACCUCCAAGAAAGAAAAUGUAAAACAAAAAUGACCAAGAUAACUGUAAGUCAAGUUUAAAUUUUUCAACUCGUCUCCAUAUCCACCUAAAAUACACAUUUUAAAUAAUUAAUUGCAGCUAUGAGAUGAUAACAAGUGACAGAUUUUUAUUUUAUUUUAUUUUUAAGGCCACACCUGUGGCAUAGCGAGGUUCCCAGGCUAGGGGUCAAAUUGGAAAUGCAGCUGCCAGCCUGCACCACAGCCUCAGCAACGCAGUAUCCAAGCCACAUCUUCGACCUGCACCAUAGCUCACAGAAACACAGGAUCCUUAACCCAUUGAGCAAGGCCAGGGAUUGAACCAGCGCCAUCAUGGACACUAGUCCAGUUCAUUACUGGUGAGCCACAAUAGGAACUCCCAGAAAUGAUGGAUUUCAAAGAAGCUACGCUGACAUCGUGCAUCUUAAUGCACAAGGUAUGACUUUCUGAUGAGCACCCAUGGCACUAGGGGUGAGAACCGAUUCAUGCCACCUUAUGACAUGAGCCUGGAAGAUGUAGCUCUUGACACAGAAAAAGCAGUGGACCUGUGAACAAGGAAUUUUAAGAACAAGAAUUAUCCUGGUUUAACAUUCCAAGGCUAUUGUUCUGGUGGUAUAUAUAUUUUUUAGUUAUUUGACACAAUUUUUGAAGCUGGAUUGCCCAAGGAGGUUUGUAAAAUCACAGGAAAGGGGGGCCUAGGACAAAGUCUUGACCAAGACUAGUUUUGUCAGAUGCUCAGCAAACGGGCAAGAGCAAAGAAGACUGCAAAAUCUGAGGAGGUAGAUGGCCUCUCCAAUUCUCAGAGAGGGCAGAAAGAAAGCAGGAGAAGGAAGAAGAGGUGACCCACAGCCACCAAUACGAUGGAUAAAUACAAGUACAAGGAGAGCUGAAACGCAUCUGUUUGACUCAGGGACCAAAGCACCACUGUAACCCUCCUGAUAUCUGUGUCCACAGAGUGGUAGGGAAGAAUUCGACACAUGCCCUCCUCUUCACUAAAGGAAAUGUUCACCUCAUGAGGAAAUGACAGAACACAAUGCAAGUCAUUAUCGGGGUGGCAGCCUUGCUGCACCAAGGAUCUGGGAAGUCUUCAUGGCAAGGAACUCAAACUCUCCUUACACCAUAAAAUAGGCGAUCAAAAUUCAAGUAUCCUUUACACACGCAGGCACACGUGCAGGCCCUCGAGUUUAGAAGAUGCUGAUGUGCUGCAGAUGAAGGAAUCAUGAACAACAAUAACAUGAAACGUGUGUAGAGCACAUUCUCUGUCGUAGGCAUUGUGCUGGAUCUAACAUGUACAUACACAGUAUUUAAAUUUACACCAUCCUCUCUCAAAGAUGUUUAUGAGGUUGAUUUUAAGGUUUAGAAAAAUGAGUUUGAGAACGGUUGACUAACUUACCCACCAUAUAACCUAAGGCAACUCUACCUUGUCAACCAAAGAAGUGGUUGUAAAGAUAAAACCCCAAAAAAUAUUUUGUGUCUUGUUUCAGGAGAAUCAUCUCUAGAACAAAAAAGAAACUUGAACUUCUCUUAUUUGGAAAUGUGUCCAUCUCGAUGUGUGUUAACACAUUCAAAAGCUCAUUAUACCAAUGUUACUGUUAUGAUUAAAAGUAUUUUUUUAUUUUCUCUUUUAAAAUAGUAUUGAAAGACUAUGCUACACUCAUUUCAAUAUCUUCAAAAGUGUUUAAUAUGCAUUCUUUGAAAGUAAAUUCUAUCUGUUAGAAAUACUUGAAAAAAUUUGGAACUUAUUUUGAUAAGGACAGGAGUGAGCAAAGUGAUAAAUAAAUGAACUUUAAUUAAAAAAUAGGUGUGAUGUGGAGUAGUAAAAUGGACUUUUUAAAGGCAUCAUUCCUAAAUUGAUUUUGACUGAAAUUCCAAAUCUCAUAAUUUCAUGAGAAUAGUAAAAUGGAUUGGGGUAGAUUUAUUUAAAUGUCUCUUUACCAUAAAGGUGCAUUUUUGCAGAUUGGUGCAUUCAAGCAAAUGUUUCUAUAUUUUCAUCUCAUUAUACAUGGUGUCUAGAUAAAUGAGAAUUCAGAAACAUCUGCUUCAAAGUUACGGAAACUUGGAAUGAUAACGCAAGCUAGUGGAUCAGUUCUGAAGUCAUACAUCCAACACGUUAGCAUCUUCAUUUUUCCUGCUUCCAUGUUGCAUAAAUGGCAAACACGAUUGAGAUUUGUUUUCUUAUACUUCAGUCCAGGUGAUCAUAUGAUACAUCGAUAAUGCCAGCUACUGCUCUGACAGCUUGUAUUUUCCAUUGCUAUAUUCCAAUUUUAAUAUGUCCAUAAUAUUUAAAUAUAUGAAGGUUAUUCAAGCAUUCAAUAUUUAAUUUGAAAAGCUUAUUUAGGAGUUCCCUUAUAGUCCAGUAGGGUAAAGGUCUGGUAUUGUAACUACAGCAGCUCAGGUUGCUGCUGUGGCAUGGGUUCGAUCCCUGGCCCAGGAACUUCCACUGCCCUGGAAGUGGGGGGGGAAAAAAAGAAUAAAAAGAUUGCUUAAGGUUUGCAUUUGAGAGUGUUAUGUGGUAUGUGGAAAAGAUGCAUCAUGUGCGUAGGGGUAAAACUAAAUUUUCUGGGGGAUGGGCUGCUAACUGUAUUAUUAAUUUUAUUCCCCAUUUUUGGGGAGUAAUUAUACCUCUGAAGAUACUGCAUCAUAGAAACUGAAGACCAAACUGUGAUAUGCAGAAAUAACAUUAACUCAGUGUACAGUUACAUCUAUGCAGGCGGUUACAGUGUUAACUUCAAUGCCAGUUCAUCUACCUACAGAGAAAGAGCAUCACAUUUUUUUUACAUUAGCUAGUAAAGAUUCAAGGUUCAUAUGCCAGGUGACUUCUAAAAAUUGCUGCAAAUUCUGUGAGGUCACGUAAAAAAAUCAAAACCUGCUAUUAAAGAGUUUGACCAUGCUCGUUUCCUCUACUGCAGCACGAGUUGGGGAGACUGUCUCUGCUGCAUCCAGGGUUUUUCUGAUCUCCUGAUUCUGUCUCUCUCUUUCUUCCUAAUAUAACUUCAUUAAGAAAAAUGUAUUAGUGUUUAUUUGUCUCUGCAAACACCAUGAAUGAUAGAGGCAGCGGAGGAGCCAGGAAGCCCUCAGUGCAUCACUGCUGUCUCCCACUACAUCUGGCCCGCUGCGAUCGCUAAUUGCCUGUCACAGCCAUGCAGCCAUGGACCUGGCAGGGCUGCCACCUCCUGUUUGGUCACCUUGUCAUCUCCUAUUAAUCUGAACCCUGUUGUUUUUUCCAUUGCCUCUACUUUCUCCCUCCAGACAGAAUGAAAAUUUAUUAUCUAACUGUGAUAUGAGUGUAUCAAAAUUUUAUUUUUGAAGGAAAAAAACUGAGAAAAAAAAGGACUUCUCAUUAAAAAAAAAAAAAAAAACCUCUCACCAGGAUAGCGUGGCAUUUUCUCUACCAUGCUGAUUUUUAAGGGUUUGUGCUGUUUUCAUUUCCACUACCACGCAGCUAUUUUCAUAGCACUAGAGGUCAUAUGGUGAAAUUUUGCAAACUGCAAGCAAUAACAAAACAAAAAUAUAUACAGAUGCAGGGAAAGUUCUGAAGCCAAUUUAAUGAUGGUCAGAAAGUUUAUGUUGCUUAUGGGGUUCUACAAAAUAUUAUGGAAAACGUGACCAGAGGCGGCCUGGGAUCUCAUUUCAAGACUGCUGAAGCAUGAUCCAGCCAAAGGUCAUGUAAGAUGUACUUGAACCCCCCUGGCUCACAGCAUCACAGCAAAUAUAUCAAAACCACCAAGCAGCCACCAAAAAAAAAAGAGAGAGAGAGAGAGAGAAAAGCAAUAGCAAACAAUUUCAGGACUGUAGCAGGUGGAAAAACCUUUGAACCAGAGCCUCUGUAUAAUCAGGUAAGAAGGGGCUACUGGCACUUAUUUUACUGCUGAUGGCCCACUGUCAAUCUAGAGCGCCACAGAGUCAUUUUGCUUUACUGAGGGCAUGGUACCUCAGCCUGCCCAUUCAGAAAUCUCCAAGUUAAUAAACAGGACCUUCUGAAGUGAAAGUGGCCACAAGAAUCCAGCUAACUUUGUUUUCCUGAACUUGAGGCAGGGUUUAGCUGCAGUGCUCACACAGGUAAGCCUCUUCCCUGGGGACCAACACGGAGUCAGGUUUGGGAAAAGUGCCCACCUUGCUUUGACUAACCAGUUAAAAAGCUGUGCGAUCACCGUUCACGUGCCUGAGUGGUGUGUGCCACCACUGAGAAAGUGGCUGAAAUGAAGCCAUGCAAUUCCUUCUUUUAAAUAUUCAAGACUUUGCGUAGGAAAAGAGAACUGUUCCCCCAAUUCCAACAAGCUCCCACGAGGGUACGCUGCUGGAACGAGCAGUGGCCCAUUACCGUUUGCUCAUGCAGCCCUGAAACUGGUCAGAGCAGGGCAUGAAUGAACUCCGGGCCCUAACUUACUCAAACGUUGAAGAUUUUCUCUCAAUUCUGGUUUCUGUUCUAAUCUAUUUGCCCCCUAUAUUUCACCAGGUAAGGCAAAAUGAUAAUGAAAGAUCAACCCAUUUAACAGAGAGAUAUCUCAAAUUAAAAAUAAAGCUCUACUUUCAGCAAAUUCUAAAAGAGAAAUUUUAGGUCCCCAAAUUAAUUCCUAAUACCCUUAUAAGUUAAAUUUCAAGGCAAGUUUAAUAUCCCACCUUUGAAGUCCAAAGAAAAUAAAAAUUAAACAUCAUCUGUCUUAAAUUUCUUUUUUGUUUGUUUGUUUUUGGUCUUUGACUUUAACUUACAAAGUACUGUUACAUUUAUAGUUUCAUUUCUUUUCAAAAUUGUUUUUAAUGAGGUAGAGUGUAAAUUCAAAUUGGGAACAUUUCUGUUCUUAGUGUUAUUCUAUCCUACCCUCUUUGAACAUUUUACCAUUGGAGUAUCUUACUGUUGUUAAUCUGAUUGAUGAAUUUAUGACAUGCUCCACUGAACAAUAAGAGCAGCCAACAUAGAAAAAUAGAACAGAAAGUGAAUUUUCAACUCUGGUUAAAGACUGACCUUGGAAUUGAUUAUAUAGCAUAUAAUUCUGACCCACUUCAUACAUUUUUUUUUUAAUUAAAGUACAGUUGAUUUACAGUCUGUCCUACAUUUCUUAUUUGGCUCAAUCCUCAUCAGAAACAAGUAGCUAAGUAGCCUCUACUCCCUCCUGGAAGGCGGCUUUUCAGUCCUACAGCCUGUGAGCCUCUGUCAUUGCCUCUUAGCCCCAGGACACUUGUGUCCCCCACUAUCAUCCUACACUCAUGUUCUUGUAAUCGAAGAAUCACCCAUCUUAGAUUCAAGAACUGAAGCUGCUGUCGAGUUUUCCGGAAGUUGUGACCCUCAAGGCCUAGUAAACCAGCCCCAACUCUAAAGACCCACGUGUGCACCCACCACUUCGUGCAGCACUGGCCUCAGUAUCGAGCACCUUCCAAUUUUUCUCCUGUCUUUUAAGAAAGGAUCAGCUAUGCUCAUGCUCUCUCAUUUGCCCUUUGCCUUCAGAACCUCUUAGAGCUAAGCUGAAUGUGAGUUACAAAUUUCGUUACCAUCUUUUCUUUGCUUUCUGGCCCAGAGCUUUCUUUUGUUAACACAUGCCUAGGUGUCGCCCAUCAUAACAUGUAGAAAACUGGGACAUUCUGG